rnacentral:rRNA from 1 species
AUUGCUUGCAAUCAGAUGGCGACCGGCGCACGGGUGCGUAACGCGUAUACAACCUACCUUUUGCUGAGGGAUAGCCCAGAGAAAUUUGGAUUAAUACCUCAUGGUACCAUGGACCGGCAUCGUUUCAUGGUUAAAGGCCACGGCAGAAGAUGGGUAUGCGUCCUAUUAGUUAGUUGGUAAGGUAACGGCUUACCAAGACAUCGAUAGGUAGGGGCCCUGAGAGGGGGAUCCCCCACACUGGUACUGAGACACGGACCAGACUCCUACGGGAGGCAGCAGUGAGGAAUAUUGGACAAUGGGGGCAACCCUGAUCCAGCCAUGCCGCGUGCAGGAUGACUGCCCUAUGGGUUGUAAACUGCUUUUGUACGGGAAGAAACGCAGCUACGUGUAGUUGUUUGACGGUACCGUAAGAAUAAGGAUCGGCUAACUCCGUGCCAGCAGCCGCGGUAAUACGGAGGAUCCAAGCGUUAUCCGGAAUCAUUGGGUUUAAAGGGUCCGCAGGCUGGCCAAUAAGUCAGGGGUGAAAGUUUUCCGCUCAACGGGAAAAUUGCCUUUGAUACUGUUGGUCUUGAAUUAUUGGGAAGUGGUUAGAAUAUGUAGUGUAGCGGUGAAAUGCUUAGAGAUUACAUAGAAUACCGAUUGCGAAGGCAGAUCACUACCGGUAUAUUGGCGCUCAUGGACGAAAGCGUGGGUAGCGAACAGGAUUAGAUACCCUGGUAGUCCACGCCGUAAACGAUGGAUACUAGCUGUUCGGCGCAAGCUGAGUGGCCAAGCGAAAGUGA